rnacentral:tRNA from 1 species
AUCUAAAUAGUUUAAGGGUAAAAUAUUGGUUUGUGGUGCCUAUGAUAUAAUUGUUUUAUUUUAGAUU